rnacentral:rRNA from 1 species
UACGUAGGGUGCAAGCGUUGUCCGGAAUUAUUGGGCGUAAAGAGCUCGUAGGCGGUCUGUCGCGUCUGCUGUGAAAACUCAGGGCUUAACCCUGAGCUUGCAGUGGGUACGGGCAGACUAGAGUGCGGUAGGGGAGACUGGAAUUCCUGGUGUAGCGGUGAAAUGCGCAGAUAUCAGGAGGAACACCGGUGGCGAAGGCGGGUCUCUGGGCCGUAACUGACGCUGAGGAGCGAAAGCAUGGGGAGCGAGCAGG